AAAGUAGCGGCGGACGGUGAGUAACACGUAGGCAACCUGCCUGUAAGACUGGGAUAACUACCGGAAACGGUAGCUAAGACCGGAUAAGUGGUCUUCUCGCAUGAGAGGAUCAAGAAACACGGGGCAACCUGUGGCUUACAGAUGGGCCUGCGGCGCAUUAGCUAGUUGGUGGGGUAACGGCUCACCAAGGCGACGAUGCGUAGCCGACCUGAGAGGGUGAUCGGCCACACUGGGACUGAGACACGGCCCAGACUCCUACGGGAGGCAGCAGUAGGGAAUCUUCCGCAAUGGACGCAAGUCUGACGGAGCAACGCCGCGUGAGUGAUGAAGGUUUUCGGAUCGUAAAGNUAGNNUGUCGGNCA
rnacentral:rRNA from 1 species